rnacentral:lncRNA from 1 species
UUCUCAAAACUCAUAUAGUCAUUGGCCCGAUGACCUGUUACCCCACACUUAAAGUACUUGAUUAAAGCGAGAGUCUCUCCCCCAUUUGGAAUUUUAUCAUCUAAAUCUUUAUGCUUCCCUUUAUCAGUUGUAUCAUUGUAUGGUUUUCCAUAAAACUGAUUAUUCCUUUUCUUCUUGUUAAGACUCUUGUAAUGAGUAGAACGAGCUCUACAAUCCUCAUCAUAUAUCUUGCAUUUAUUCACCGACAUAGGAAAAUGGAGAAUCUUUUGAUAGCCAAUAUCUUGCUUGAUCUCGGGACGCAAUUUUCUUUCGAACUUGAUACAUUUUGACCCCUCAGCAGCCAUACCAUUGUAGUAUGGACAAAACUUCACCAGCUCUUCGAACUUAGCAGCAUGCUUAGCAAUUGUCAUAUUUCCCUCCUUUAGCUCAAGGAACCCAAUCUCCUUCUUACUAUACACGUCCUCUAAAAAAUACUUCUCCAAAAAUUUAGCCCUGAGCACAGCCUAAGUAGUCUCAAUACAACAACCUCUAGUCUCUAACGUGCAUUAUCCCACCAGUCUUCGGCCUCUUCAGACAACUUGUGUGCACCGAACUUCACCUUCUGAACUUUAGUGCAAUCCAUCACUCGAAAAAUACCUCAAUCUCUCUGAGCCAUAUUUGUGCACCCUCUGGAUCAUAUCUUCCCUUGAAGGUCGGAAGAUUGUUUCUCUGAAUCUUCUAUAAUCCACGAAACUCAUCACCAACCUGAUUUUGGUGACCUUGCAGCGCCCGAGCCAUUGCUUUCGAAGCAUCAACAAUCGCUCGGUCGUUUCUUCCUCCUGCCAUAUUCUGAAUACCAGUAAACAGACAUUAGAAGAAAUAUUGCAUCGACAACGUUCACACACUCGUCACAUACUAAGGAACAUAUAUAACAUUACAAAAACCUGGUUGGAUGGAAUGACAUGCUUUGAUACCACUAAUUGUAACACCAUAAACCCCAAAACUUAUGUAAAAAUAAUUACUCGACAAUUUAAGGUUUCGCCAACGACAUCCCUUCAAAACUCAUCAAAAACAUGUGACAACACGCAACGAAAAAUAAUUUCAUAACAACUUCAUAAAUAAAGUAUUGAAAUUUAAAACACCAAAUUCAACAUUAAAUCAAAAAUAUAACAAACGCCUUGUUCCCGAUAUUACAAUAUCAGAGCACUAAAAACCACUAAUAUACGAUAAAGCGGUAAAUAAAACAAAGUAUAGCUCCAAAAAUACACCUUCCACACAUAACAACAACUUUAAUACUGAGUAUCUGCAAGAUGUCUACGGUGGAUAACAUUAAGCAAAAGGGUGAGAAACAAAUUCAAUAUGAAUGGUGUAAAGAAUGCGAAGGUAGAGAAAUACACAACUUAUCAUACAUCCAAUACAUAAUCAACAAAUCAUAAUCACACAUCCAUUCACAAUAAUAUGCACAUAUAUAUGUAAUGCGACUUACGAUACAAUGUGACACUUAUGCAUGUGGUACCAUCUCAACAUUUGGUUCUCUUUGGAAUCGGGUCCCUCCUUAUGAACCCAUGAGCCCCCAUUUUGAGCUUGGGACAAGCCACUAGUCCCCCCUUCUAAACUAGUUAAUAUGUAUCUUUCAACGACAUGGCACAAUGAUGCAUGUCCAUACAAAUCAAUGCAACAACAAUAAUAACACUUACGGCCUCUUCUAACCAUAAACAACAUGCAUUGACACACAAUAGUAAUCCCUUUUCUGAAUUACUAUCCAUCAAUAACACCAACAAUACAUAAUUAAUCACCAUAUAGUCAUGCAUUUUAUAACAAUAUGAAUCAUAUCCACAUCAUAUAACAACACAAAACAGCAUCAUACGCAUCUCAUACCAUUGCUACAUAUAAACAACAACAGGUAAGUAAGGAAAUUACCAAUGAACAACAAUAAUUCCACCAUAAUUAAUUAAAUUCAUGACAAUUAAUUAACUACUGACACCAAAAUGUUCAAAUAGUAGUCAUACAUCACCCAAACAACAAUAACACCUCAAAAGUCUGAACUGACAACUCAGACCAUGCAACAGGAACGACAAUGCCCCUUCUGACAACAUGACGGGUGAUCCGGCAUCCUGGUGACGCUCGUCACAUGCUUACAACUCCCAUGCCGUCAUCAUAGUGAAAAUCGUCUUGGAAAACCAAGCCUGGAGACCAUGACGAUCUCCCUGUCAUAGAGCUGACGCCCGUCAGCAUCUCAAGGUGCAUGAUGGGUAACUCGUCAUCUGGGUGACGCCCGUCACCCUGCACCAGAAGGAAAAAACACUAAUUCUUCCAUGAGAGUUACCUUGAACUUUGAUUUAUGAUCCCUAAUCAUUCCCACACGCCCAAAAAAUGAUAAUGCAUGUAAUAACAUCAUUAUAACAUACCAAAUCAUUGAAUUACACAAAUUAUUCAUGAACUUCAACACAUUCAUGUUUAUGUUCAAACCUUCAACAACCCCAACAAUGACAUACAAACAUAUACACAUAAACAUAAUCAUAUAUACACAAAUCAAAUCACGAAAUUUAGAUGAACACACCUUUAAUUAUCAAUUUCCAGAACCACAUAUAACAACAACAAUUCAUAAGCAUUUCACAUAAUUCCUAAAGAGAGUAAGAGUAUCUCUUCUCUAUCUUUUCAUGCAAUACAUGCAUAUAGAAGCCCCCUCCCCCCCUUUAUGUUAGGUUCCUUGCAAAAAUCUGAAUUGGUGAUGGUGUGUUCUUCCCUUUCCAAGCCCUAGUCUCAUUUGCUCUUCCAAACUCUAUUUAACGUACUGACAACCCUUAGGUCUCUAAUCCGUUUUUAUCUAAUUUAAUCUUUAGGUAAUUAUACUAAGACCCAAUUCUUUUUAAAAUUUUCACUAUUUCCCUUUUGUUCCUAUUUUCCACCCAUAAACUUAUAUUUCUAUUUAUUUUAAUUAAUUAAUAAAAACAAUUAUUCAUUCUAAUUAUUUAUAAUUAUUCUAAUUCUCCUAAUCCUUCUAUCACCCCAUCAAUGCUCUCACCACACCCUACCACAUAUACAUACCACUCAAUAUAUUUAAUUAAAAAUAUAUCACAUACUAAAUAAUUAAAUAAAAAUACGAAUAAUCUGACUAAAUCAAUUAAUCAAAUCUAGGGGUGUUACAUAGUUGAAGAAGAAGAAGAAGAUGAAAGUGAUACACAGUCUGAUUAUCUGUUGAACACCAACAGUGAAGAUGGUAAUCAUCAAGCGCCAUUACCUCCAAGUCACGUAUAUUGUCUACCACAAUAUAUGACAAACUUGAACUUGAAUGGUGAUGAGUCAUCCUCUAAUAUUUUUUACAAUCCAUAUAUGCGGUUAGAGGGUGAGUUAAAAGUGGGAGACAGGUUCCACACUAAAGAAGAGUGAAUGUGAGCUAUCAAAAAAUUUCACAUGGAGAACUCUGUUGAUUAUACCGUAGAUCACACUAAUGCAAGAAGAUAUGUCAUUCUUUGUCGUAAUGUGCUUUGCAUGUUUCGACUAGCACCGUCUUACAGGAAGAUAAUUGAUUCAUGGGAGAUAAGUUAUAUACAUUUAUCUCACAAUUGAACCGCCACUAUUAUUGCACAUGAUCACCAUAAAUUAAACUCUAAAAUAAUAUGUCAAGACAUUUUGUCUUUUGUUAGCAAGGAGCCAUCAAUGAAGGUAAGUAUACUAAUCUUUCAUAUUGUUACAUGAUAUAAUUAUAAUCCCUCAUACAAGAAAGUGUGGAUUGCAAGAAAAAAUGCUAUUGAACGAGUAUACGAAAAUUAGAAGGAUUCGUACAAAAAAAAAUCCACAAUAAUUGGUGACACUUAAGACAUAUACUCUGGGAACUGUUACAAUUUUGAAGACACGGUCGGCAUAUACGCCGUACAGAACUUGUGUCAGUGGAAAUAUAAUAUUUCAUCGAUUCUUUUUAGGCAUUUCAACCAUGCAUCAAAGAUUUUGCGUUUUGCAAACUUAUUCCUAAAAUUGAUGGAACAUGGUUGUACGGGAAAUACAAGGGCACAUUACUUAUGACAGGGGCACAAGACGACAACAAUAAUAUAUUUCCCAUUGCCUUCGCUCUGAUUGAAGGUGAGACUUUGAGUGGUUAGAGUUUCUUUCUCAAGAAUCUCAUAACAUAUGUUGCUCCACAAUCCAACCUCUGUUUGAUUUCAGACAGACAUGCAUCUAUUGAGAGUGUGUAUAAUAAUCCUGAGAAUGGAUGACAAAAUCCUCCUUCUAGCCAUGUCUACUGCAUUAGACAUAUUGCACAAAACUUCAUGCGAGAAAUCAGAGACAAGAACCUUUGGAAAAAAUGUUGUGAUUGUAGUGUACUCCCUCCGUCCCAUAUUAUAAGCAAAUUUCACCUUUCUAGAUUCAUUAAAUAAUUAAUGUAUCUGGUUUAUUAUAUAGAUCAGAUACAUUAAUUAUUUAAUGAAUCUAAAAAGGUGAAAUUUACAAAUUUCACCUUUCUAGAUUCAUUAAAUAAUUAAUGUAUCUGGUUUAUUAUAUAGAUCAGAUACAUUAAUUAUUUAAUGAAUCUAAAAAGGUGAAAUUUGCUUAUAAUAUGGGACGGAGGGAGUAUGCUUUAAUUCAGCCAUCAUUCCGACACUAUCGUAGGGAAAUUAGAUUGUCAAAUGCGGAUGCAUUAAUGUGUGUGGAUAACAUUCCAUUGGAGAAGUGGAUAAUGGAAUUUGACGAAGGACGCCGAUGGGGCCACAUGACAAUAAACCUUGUUCAGUCCAUGAACAACUUCUUCAAAGACAUUAGAAACCUAUCAAUAAUCGCGUUGGUGAGAGCAAUAUAUUUUAGGUUGGGAUCACUUUUUACAUCCAUAGGCAAAAAAUGGAGUUCGGUGUUACGGUUGAGACAAUUAUUCAGUAAAAGUUGCAUGAAAGUGAUGAAGGGGGAAACUAUCAAAGCUAGCACACAUGGGGUUACAAUCUUUGACCGUCGUAGACACAGUUUUAGUGUAAAAGAAAUAAUGGACCACAAUGAGGGGAGGCCGAAUGAAGACUAUCAGAUCGAACUAAAUAGAGGUUGGUGCGAUUGUGGCAAGUUUCAAGCCUUAUGUAUGUCUUGCUCCGAUGUCAUUGCGACAUAUUCAUAUGCUCGCCAUAACACUUCCAAGCAUGUAUCUGCCGUUUACAAAGUCGCAAAUGUAUUCAAUGUAUACAACAAUAACUUCCCGAUGAUAGUAAAAGGGGACUAUUUACCUACAUAUCAAGGGAACAUAAUUUGAUGCGAUAAAAAUAUGCGACAGAAGAAAAAAUAUCGCUCCAACAGCACAUAUAUUAAAACAAAAAUUGAUAUAACUAAUAAAAUGGUAAUAUUAAAAUAAAUUUGCAUGAUAAUUUUUUUUCUUUAAAUUUUUAUAACCUUAUUAUUUUAUAUAUAUAUAUAUAUAUAUAUAUAUUAAUUUUUGGUUACAACAAAAAUAACAUAAACACUCUAUCAAUAAUUAAGUUAAGAAAGCAUAAAAUUAAUUAAGCUUAAUCUUUAGUAUAUUUAAUAAUCCAAUAAAGAAAAUUUAAAAACACAUUGAAAUAUCAACACCGUUUGAUUUCCAUCAAACAAAAGCACUUGAAAUCUCAACUCCAUGAGACACACAAUUUCACAAAAUCUCAAAUCUCUUAUCCAACCCAAGUGAGAUAACAAAACACAAAGUAUCAUAAAUCACCACCAAUAACAACAAUCCAUCUCAGCAUCUUUACUUCUCUCACCUUAUCCAAAAUCCAUUUUCCCACCACCAAUUUCUCUCCACACAGAAUCUAAAAACCUUCUCUUCUUCUCUUUCCAAUAUCAUCACACAAAUCAAAUCCAUCACACACAAACACCAUUCUUUUUUCCUCACAAAAAAAUGUCUCUCACCAUUCCAACUAACCUCUCGAAACCCACCUCAACCCUAAGACCCAAACUCACCCAAAAACCAAAACUCUCCACCAUCAUCCACUGCAGCACAAACCAAACCCCAAACAAUCAAACCGACCAUGCAAACUCAAAUCUAAAAGCCUUCUCCGCUGCACUAGCCCUCUCCUCAAUCCUCAUCUCAUCCCCACUCCCGGCCGUCGCCGACAUCUCCGGCUUAACCCCAUGCAAAGAAUCAAAACAGUUCGCCAAACGCGAAAAACAGUCAAUCAAAAAACUCGAGUCCUCC